rnacentral:lncRNA from 1 species
CCCAGACAAGUCAAUACAUGCUUCAGGACACAUGCAGGCAUGGUUUGGAGACAUCGAUCAAGAGCUUGAAAGUUAGGACCUCUAAACACAGUGAUACCACAGAGAGGGAUUGGAUUCCCAUGUUCAUUGAUAAUAGCCAAGAUACAGAGAGACCUAUGUGUAAUAGAUGCGGGCCUCAUCAACCUUCAGAAUAUGGUGUCCGUGGGAUGAAUACACCAUGCAGAGAUAAUGAGAGAAAAGGGAUGGGCCGAAGAUGAGGUGAGCAACUGCAAAGAGGUAAACAAAGGGCCCCUUCCGGGUCCUAUGGAUAAAACACUCAGGCACAGGAAGAGAGCCAAGCACGUGAGGGCCAAGCUAUCGUGUCCAACUGUGAGUACUAGGGACCAUCAAUUACACAUGGUAGCACAGCAUGUGUUCAGAUGGAAGCCAUGCCCCUGCAACUGAGCAGUGCCCACAUGAAGUGAGAAAGUGAAAAGAUAAACUAAGUCAAUGCUUUGAAAAAGUUGGCUUGGUGAGAGGUGGAGAAUAAGUGGAUGGUAGAGGUCAACCAGGAGACUAGGAGUUUGCAUAAAAUCAGCUGGGCAGAGUUUAAACUGUCCUGUCUGCAAAUUGCCUGUAGCAUCACCUGGUCACAAUUAUCCAAGCCACUCCUGACUUUGCAUCUUCAGCUUUCCAUCCUUACCCAGAAAAUGGGACACAGUGAGUAGCAGGUGCUUUUAAAUUGGAUCGAGCUGGCAAAGAGAGGUGGAUGGUUAGGCUACUGUCUUGUGAAGUUGAUGAAAAUAGAUAAGCAAUCCAUGUGUGCACUGUAAGUUUUCUUUAGUCAGCAUUGCUGUAAAAUUGAGUCAUUAGCCUAAUGGCUUUAGUUCUCUGUAAGGCAAUUCCCACAGACUCAGUAUGCUGUAAAAACCAGGCAGAGAAGCAAUUAAAGAAAAGCCAGGUUGUAUUAAAAAGGCUUGUUAGUUCUCUUCCUAGUCUUGCUGUCUUCCUACGUCCUCAGACUAAGUUGCUGCUUACCCCAGACUCCUCUUGUACUAUUUAUUCUGCUGUUCUGUUUUGACAUAGAUUUACAGAUGUCCUCACCCCAAAGGCUGUCCAGUGGUAAGUCAUUUUCCCUGCAGCAGUCCAGUGUUUUCUGACCAGCAUUUCUGAUAAACAUUUGAGGGAAAAUUUCAAUGGCUUCUGCAAGGUAUGGUGGUAUGCACUAAUAGGUCCAGCUAUUGGGAGACUGAGGCAGGAGGAUCACAUCAGACCUGGAGUUUGGAUAGCUCCUGGGCAAUAUAGCAAGACCCC